GCCGAUACGGGGGUGAGAAAGAUUGUUUCAGGAGAGCAGCUGAGCUCUUAAGAGCACAGACUCAGCUCAGCAGUACCAGCUUUUCUCAGACUGAGUGGCAUGAGAGAUUUCAACACAUGUGUCAGCAGCCAGACUAACUGUGAAAAGAAUCACUGAACCAUAUGAAAAUGGAAAGCUCAAUCACCAGACUUCUCCUGAGAGAGUAUCAGCCUAUUAUCAUUACAUGUCUUCUACUUAGCAAUCAAAAGUAAAUAAGACUGUUGGAGCCUCUUCUGUAUGAAACACAUGGCGACUUUACAUACAUCAAUUAAUAAAGCUUCAGGACCUCUACCAG